AGCGGGGUGGGGUAGCCAGGAUUAACCCGCUGGGCUCAUAACCCAGAAAUCAGUAGUUCAAAUCUACUCCCCGCUACCA
rnacentral:tRNA from 1 species